AUGAACGCUGGCGGCGUGCCUAAUACCUGCCAGUCGAGCGAACAGAUCAGGAGCUUGCUCCUUUGACGUUAGCGGCGGACGGGUGAGUAACACGUGGGUAACCUACCUAUAAGACUGGGAUAACUUCGGGAAACCGGAGCUAAUACCGGAUAAUAUUUCGAACCGCAUGGUUCGAUAGUGAAAGAUGGUUUUGCUAUCACUUAUAGAUGGACCCGCGCCGUAUUAGCUAGUUGGUAAGGUAACGGCUUACCAAGGCGACGAUACGUAGCCGACCUGAGAGGGUGAUCGGCCACACUGGAACUGAGACACGGUCCAGACUCCUACGGGAGGCAGCAGUAGGGAAUCUUCCGCAAUGGGCGAAAGCCUGACGGAGCAACGCCGCGUGAGUGAUGAAGGUCUUCGGAUCGUAAAACUCUGUUAUUAGGGAAGAACAUACGUGUAAGUAACUGUGCACGUCUUGACGGUACCUAAUCAGAAAGCCACGGCUAACUACGUG
rnacentral:rRNA from 1 species